GAGAGGCAGAGAAAGAGUGUGGAGAGGCAGAUAAAGAGUGUGGAGAGGCAGAGAGGGAGUGUGUGGAGAGGCAGAGAAAGAGUGUGGAGAGGCAGAGAGAGAGCGUGUGGAGAGGCAGAGAGAGAGCAUAUGGAGAGGCAGAGAGAGAGCAUGUGGAGAGGCAGAGAGAGAGCAUGCGGAGAGGCAGAGAGAGUGUGUGGAGAGGCAGAGAGAGAGCAUGCGGAGAGGCAGAGAGAGAGCAUGCGGAGAGGCAGAGAGAGAGCAUGUGGAGAGGCAGAGAGAGAGCAUGUGGAGAGUCAGAGAGAGAGUGUGGAGAGGCAGAGAGAGAGUGUGGAGAGGCAGAGAGAGCAUGCGGAGAGGCAGAGAGAGAGCAUGCGGAGAGGCAGAGAGAGAGUGUGGAGAGGCAGAGAAAGAGUGUGGAGAGGCAAAGAGAGAGAUUAUGUGGAGAGGCAAAGAGAGAUAUUAUGUGGAGAGGCAGAGAGAGAGCAUGCGGAGAGGCAGAGAGAGAGCAUGUGGAGAGGCAGAGAGAGAGCAUGCGGAGAGGCAGAGAGAGAGCGUGUGGAGAGGCAGAGAGAGAGCAUGUGGAGAGGCAGAGAGAGAGCAUGCGGAGAGGCAGAGAGAGAGCAUGUGGAGAGGCAGCGAGAGAUCGUGUGGAGAG
ensembl:lncRNA